rnacentral:rRNA from 1 species
CGGCAUGCCUAACACAUGCAAGUCGAACGAGACCUUCGGGUCUAGUGGCGCACGGGUGCGUAACGCGUGGGAAUCUGCCCUUUGCUUCGGAAUAACAGUUAGAAAUGACUGCUAAUACCGGAUGAUGUCUUCGGACCAAAGAUUUAUCGGCAAAGGAUGAGCCCGCGUAGGAUUAGGUAGUUGGUGGGGUAAAGGCCUACCAAGCCGACGAUCCUUAGCUGGUCUGAGAGGAUGAUCAGCCACACUGGGACUGAGACACGGCCCAGACUCCUACGGGAGGCAGCAGUGGGGAAUAUUGGACAAUGGGCGAAAGCCUGAUCCAGCAAUGCCGCGUGAGUGAUGAAGGCCUUCGGGUCGUAAAGCUCUUUUACCAGGGAUGAUAAUGACAGUACCUGGAGAAUAAGCUCCGGCUAACUCCGUGCCAGCAGCCGCGGUAAUACGGAGGGAGCUAGCGUUGUUCGGAAUUACUGGGCGUAAAGAGUACGUAGGCGGCUAUUCAAGUCAGAGGUGAAAGCCCGGGGCUCAACCCCGGAACUGCCUUUGAAACUAGGUAGCUAGAAUCUUGGAGAGGUCAGUGGAAUUCCGAGUGUAGAGGUGAAAUUCGUAGAUAUUCGGAAGAACACCAGUGGCGAAGGCGACUGACUGGACAAGUAUUGACGCUGAGGUACGAAAGCGU